rnacentral:rRNA from 1 species
GGGGGGGGGGGGGGGGGGGGGGGGGGGGGGCGGGGCGGGCGGCGGGGGGGGGGGGGGGGGCGGUGGCGGGGGGGGGGGGGGGGGCGGGUGGGGGGGGGAUCGGGAUCGACGCUGUCGGGGGGGAUCACGGAGGGAAACGUACGCUAGUACCGCAUACGACCUACGGGUGAAAGCAGGGGAGCUUCGGACCUUGCGCGAUUGAAUGAGCCGAUGUCGGAUUAGCUAGUUGGCGGGGUAAAGGCCCACCCAGGCGGCGAUCCGUAGCUGGUCUGAGAGGAUGAUCAGCGACACUGGAACUGAGACACGGUCCAGACUCCUACGGGAGGCAGCAGUGGGGAAUAUUGGACAAUGGGCGCAAGCCUGAUCCAGCCAUACCGCGUGGGUGGAGAAGGCCUUGGGGUUGUAAAGCCCUUUUGUUGGGAAAGAAAAGCAGCAGGUUAAUACCCCGCUGUUCUGACGGUACCCAAAGAAUAGGCACCGGCUAACUUCGUG